CAACUUUAACCUUGUUAGUUGUUAAAACACAUAUUCUCAAUAUGGGUUAUUAAAUUUUGAAUUUAGAUUGAAUAAUAUUUACAUUCUUGAAUAAUAGUGCUUCCUUUUUAUUUUAUUUGAAGAGAUUACUUUAAAAAACAAAAAAAAAACCAAAAACAAUAUAGCGGGCCGACAGAAGGACCCGAUCAACCCGGCUGACACGCAUCCCCAUGCUCUUCAACUCUCCUCCACCGAUUUUUAUUAAAACUUUACAUUUAUUUAUUUCUACUUUUGUUUUUC
rnacentral:lncRNA from 1 species